CUAUGGUUUAUUGGAUCGUACUCGUUAAAUGGAUAACUGUAAUAACUCUAGAGCUAAUACAUGCCUCGAUGCUCUGACUCUGUCCGCCUGUCUAAUAUGAGGGUAGGGAGGAUAGGGAAUGGGUGCGCUUAUUAGAUCAGAAGCCAACCGACGUUGCGUAUGCGGCUGGAUGGUCGUGACGUGCGUUGAGACACUUCUGGUGACUCUGGAUAAUUGUUACAGAUCGCAGUCGGCCUUGAGUCGGCGACGGGUCCUUCAAAUGUCUGCCCUAUCAACUUUCGAUGGUAGGUGACCUGCCUACCAUGGUGAUAACGGGUAACGGGGAAUCAGGGUUCGAUUCCGGAGAGGGAGCCUGAGAAACGGCUACCACUUCCAAGGGAGGCAGCAGGCGCGCAAAUUACCCACUCCCAGCACGGGGAGGUGGUGACGAAAAAUACCGAUGCGGGACUCCUUAAAGAGGCUCCGUAAUCGGAAUGAGUGGACUCUAAAUCCUUUCACGAGGAUCCAUUGGAGGGCAAGUCUGGUGCCAGCAGCCGCGGUAACUCCAGCUCCAAUAGCGUAUAUUAAAGUUGCUGCAGUUAAAAAGCUCGUAGUUGGAUCUCGGUGGUGCUAUUGCCCGUCGGUAUUUGAGCGGCUGGUGUGUGGCUCAUGACGCGCAGCUUUGGCUCAUGACGGUCUGCUCGCAGGUGCGUCGAGGAGCUGGUGGUCUGCUCGAUCGCUCGCUCCCUUCCCCCUCCCUUCUCCCUCCCUCCCUCGCUCGUUGGCUGGCUGGCUGGCUGGCUGGCUGGCUGGCUGGUNNNNNNNNNNNNNNNNNNNNNNNNNNNNNNNNNNNNNNNNNNNNNNNNNNNNNNNNNNNNNNNNNNNNNNNNNNNNNNNNNNNNNNNNNNNNNNNUGGUUGGUUGGAUGGUUGGUUGGUUGGUUGGUUGGUUGGUUGGUUGGGUGUGUGAACGGCUCGCCUGUUUGUUGGUGCGCGUGCUUCAGCGCGGGGCGGGGCGGGGCUGCGCGGUUGUGGCCAUUGAUUAGCGCUGUCGUGUCAAGCCGGCAGGGCGACGGUGCCACCUUUGAGCCAUGUCUGCGGUGUAGCAGCCGCAGGUGUGGGCGGGUGUUGGGCAGUGCUCCGCACACGCUGUGGGGCCUGUCGGCUCGUCUGCAUGCCUCUGGAUGCCCUUCAAAAGGUGUCCGUGGGCGGAUGGCACGUUUACUUUGAACAAAUUUGAGUGCUCAAAUCAGGCCGAUGUUGCCUGAAAAGUUUUGCAUGGAAUAAUGGAAUAGGACUUCGGUUCUAUUUCGUUGGUUUUCGGAUCCGAAGUAAUGAUCAAAAGAGACAGGCGGGGACGUUUGUAUGGCUGCGCUAGAGGUGAAAUUCAUGGACCGUAGCCAGACAGACUAAAGCGAAAGCAUUCGUCAAGCAUGUUUUCAUUGGCCAUGAGCGAAAGUCAGAGGCUCGAAGACGAUCAGAUACCGUCCUAGUUCUGACCAUAAACGAUGCCAACUGACGAUCCGUGGUGGUAGUGCUUCAACCUUCCCCACGGGCAGUCCCCGGGAAACCUUUAAGUCUUUGGGUUCCGGGGGAAGUAUGGUUGCAAAGCUGAAACUUAAAGGAAUUGACGGAAGGGCACCACCAGGAGUGGAGCCUGCGGCUUAAUUUGACUCAACACGGGAAAACUCACCCGGGCCGGACACUAUGAGGAUUGACAGAUUGAGAGCUCUUUCUUGAUUUGGUGGUUGGUGGUGCAUGGCCGUUCUUAGUUGGUGGAGCGAUUUGUCUGGUUAAUUCCGAUAACGAACGAGACUCCAGCCUGCUAAUUAGUGCGUUUGUCCACUGCGUCUGUGUGGGUGGCGUUGGAUGGGGCUGCUGCCGCGGGCCGAGAGCUUCUCCCUCUUCUUCCGGCUGUUUCUGCAUCCUCUCCUUGCCCUUCUUCUCACGGUCGAGGAUGACAUGGCGCGCGGGUGGUCGGUCAGUCGGUCGGGCGAGCGGGUGUAUGUCCGUCUGUCUGUCUGUCUGUCUGUCUGUCCGUCGUCUGCUUGUCUGCUCCUCUGUCCGGCUGUGAGUGUCGGGCGUGAGUUGGUGUGGCGCUGGGCGGCUGAGGGGUUGACGUUCGUGGUGGUCUGGUCAGUCUGGCGCUGGCUCCCGGGUGCGGCGCGAAUGCCUACUUCUUAGAGGGACAAGCGGGAGAAGCCACACGAAAUAGAGCAAUAACAGGUCUGUGAUGCCCUUAGAUGUCCGGGGCCGCACGCGCGCUACAAUGACGGUGGCAGCGAGUUAGACCUUCUGGCCCGAAAGGGUUGGGCAAACUGGUCAAUCACCGUCGUGACAGGGAUCGGGGCUUGGAAUUGUUCCCCGUGAACGAGGAAUUCCUAGUAAGUGCAAGUCAUAAGCUUGCGCUGAUUACGUCCCUGCCCUUUGUACACACCGCCCGUCGCUACUACCGAUUGAAUGGUUUAGUAAGGUCCUUGGAUUGGCGCUAUUGCGGCGAUCGCCGAGAGGUAACCGCCCGUCAGGUGCUGAGAAGACGACCGAACUUGAUCAUUUAGA
rnacentral:rRNA from 1 species